AAUACUUCAGUGAAGAUUUCAAAACUGAGCAAAGCUGUUAUUGCAGCUUUGGACCGAGAGAUUCGGACAUUUCCGGGUUAAUCCCUUUGUUCGGACUGCGCUACAGCGGCAACCAUUCUAGUUUCUGCUCCGUCAUGGCUGCUGUUUCCCCGGGGAAAGAGGAGAGAGGGAGAAGAAAACGCAGAUAAGUGAACAUUGUUCACUCAAUGGGCGAUGCGGUGUACAAAGUACAAAGCGUGGAAAGAAUAUCAAACCCCCUCCUAAAGCCUGUGCUUUCUCCGACCCACACAAUAGAUGACUGUUUUCUUGGACAUCUUACACAAGGACUGACUGUUCAUCUGCUGAAGAAAGAAACAGAAACCAACCUCAUUCCUUCAAGAGGAUUCCUGCAGACCUCCCCUAGCCCGGCUGUUGAAAUCCCUUAAUCGGCUCUUUGACUAAAGAAGACUUCUCAUCAGACCUGCAGCUUUGAUCUUCAGAUUACAUCAGACAAGUAUUUUCCUUACAAGUUGUAACAGUGCACUAUCAUUUACUGUGUAACCUUUCUUGACUGUAUUUGUGAGUGAAUGUGUGAGUGAGUGAAGCAACGUUUAUUGUUGGGUUAUUUAGUAUUUUAAAAAUAAACAACCAUCUUUUUUAAAAA